GCCUGGAGCCAGUGCACCCGAGGCCGCCGGAGUGGGAGGACGCGCGGACUGCCCUCGCGGACUGUGAGUGAACGUUGGAAGUGUUAAUAUCGAAGUUUCAACGGUUUGUUUCGAUUUGGUUUAACGGUGUGCGGUCAGAUACAUGCUCCAACUGCGAUAGCAAACUUUGAAAAUUGAAAUUUCUAAAAGUAUUAGUGAACAGUUAAAACUGUCAGAAGUUUGAUUAGCUGGCAUUUACUCCCAUCUUCUUCAAUUUAGGAUAACAAACAUUAAACUUGUGACAUUCCGUCAUGGCCCCACCUGCUCAGCUCGCCCCCGAACGACAGCACUCCCUCCGGCUACAGACUGAUUCCUAUCUAUACAGUUGAGCUCUAAACAUGGUUAAGUAGUGUAGCAUAAGACUUACAAUAGUACAAUGAGCUUAUAAGUUAAGUGGAUGAACGAGAUGCCUUACUACGGGUAUCGGGAGGGGGAGUCGGACUCGGGAGGGGGCUCGGAGUCCGACGGGGGCGAGGACUCGGAGGGGGGGAUGAGUACGGAGAGCUCGGCGGGGCAGGGGCUGCCUUAUCCCGGGUUCACCCCCGUGGCACUGCGGUACCUGACGCAAGACUCGAGGCCGAGAAGCUGGUGUCUCAAGCUGAUCACCAAUCCAUAUCCUUUUCAAUAUCUAUAAUUAAAAGGCAAGUGGUUAUUAAGUUAUUAUUAAGCAGGUUGAUUAUUGAAUGUUGUCACAGAUUUGCAUCGUUUUAAACAUCAGUAUCGAUAGAUAGCCGAAGUCUACUUGCUUAUUUUUUUGUGCAGAUAACUUCAGAAACUUCGGUCGUAAUAUUGACAUCAAUAAUGACAUGCUUCUCAUAUUUGUCACGUUAAUUAAACUCAGGGCUAGAAGGUACAGAUUUCAUCUAACUAUACCAAAUUUUUAGUAUAGGUACCUCUUGAAUCUGGAUGGUAACACUAAAAAGUACGACAGAAAUAAUUUUAUUGUCCAUGCUUACAUUUUAGGCAAAAUUAAUUAUAUUACCAAGAACUAGACCUCAUCAUUAUGUUGGCUUGUAUAUAUUCUGAGUUAGCAAUGACGCGAAUAAUACUUGAUGAAAUUGAAUGAAAUAUUUAUGACAGAUCACGACAAACU